rnacentral:rRNA from 1 species
UACGUAGGGUGCAGGCGUUAAUCGGAAUUACUGGGCGUAAAGCGUGCGCAGGCGGUUAUGCAAGACAGAUGUGAAAUCCCCGGGCUUAACCUGGGAACCGCAUUUGUGACUGCAUAGCUGGAGUACGGCAGAGGGGGAUGGAAUUCCGCGUGUAGCAGUGAAAUGCGUAGAGAUGUGGAGGAAUACCGAUGGCGAAGGCAGCCCCCUGGGCCAAUACUGACGCUCAUGCACGAAAGCGUGGGGAGCAAACAGG